AAGAUGUGGUGCAUAGCAGAUUGGUGCUAAUUUGUGAAACCAUUGAUCUUAGCAGCCACAUUGACAUGGAAAAGCACUUAUGAGCCUACAUGUCAUUAACUUUGCACUGCUCUGAUAUUGGUGCCCAGCUUGAAACACAGACAUACCAACCACCUAAUGUAUCUCAAAUCAGGAAUCUUCAAAACAAGGAAUGAAGAAUUAGUUGCCACAUUUGAAAAUUUAGAAGUUGAUGCCUCAUCCUUCUUACAUCAAAGUUAAUGGGAAGUUUUCCAAUAACUUCACUGGGAGCAUGGUAACAUAUGGCCACUGACACAUGAAGUUACAGUUAGGAAUAUUGAUGCUGUAAAAACUACAGAUGUGUGUGUAUUUGGGAGAAACAAACCAGACAACCGGCCAACACAGCCUUGAUGGCCCAUUAAGAAGAAACAAUAAAACUGUGAAGAUACUAAUCUUUCUCCUUCCCGAGAGGCAUCCUGGGACAUAGCUCUGACACUACCAGGUUAGGUGGUCCUGUCACCUGAUACAAAAUGCCAACUUGGACACUGCUGGCACUUUUCCACUGUAGGGAGAUGGAGAUCAAACGAAAGA